GGAGAUGUGACGGAACUGGUAACGUCUAAAUCAGCCAAUCGGAGAGGAUGGUUAGGCUGUAAGGUAAGAGAGUGCGGCCCCAGUAUAAUCGCAAACUCAAGCAGGUUCGACUCCUGUCAUCUCCG
rnacentral:tRNA from 1 species